GUUGGUGGCCGUUGGCGCGGCGGUUGGGAGGGUUGUGAAAUUUGGGGCUCACACCUGGGGUCAGGGUUAUUCAUAUCAAGCUUGUGUCCGAUUCUGUAGAAAGCAGGGAACCGCAGCCACCCCAAGCUACAAUCAAGGUCUGCUUCAACGUGGUUAUUCCCUAAAGAGAGAGGCCAGACCACUGCGAGUCCUGAGAGAGGGCACGGCCAGACCCAACAGAUGGAAGCUGCGAGGAGACCAAUUUAGACGUGACUGGGGAGCUGUGGCGGAGGUUGACUUUGAUGGCCACUGUGAAAAUGCUUUGCACAGUAAGGGUGACAAGAGCUAACAAUUACUGACUCCCAGCUGAGAAUACGAAGGGGUUUUCCACAUGCAGUCUCAUUUCAUCCUUACAUCAACUGUUUCUGUACAGAAGCUGUGUCAUUCCACUGCUCCUGCCCAGCAGCCCAGACCCUGACCUUGUGGAAGUGGAAGAAGAAUCUCAAAUUCUGUCCUCAGGCAGAGCAGGCUGUCCAAAGUGAAUAUUGGUGAACACCCUUCCGGUCAGCAAAGGAGGAGGGCGGGACAUGGAAGGACGGACUAUAGGGGAAUCUGAUAAAGGAAGACCGCUUCGGGGAACAAACACAUCCCCAAAUGAGAUGGCAUCAGUAUACCAGAGAAACCCGUGCAGUCUGAACAGACACGGACUUCUUACGGAUCGUCAGGUCCUCUGAGGUCACGGCUGGGCUUUAAUGCUGGCCUUACCCUCAGUCUCCUGUAUUUCAUCACUGUAUCCCCACCUCCGCGGUCACAGCGGAACCUU